CCAAAGGCUCUUUUAAGAGCCACCCAUGUUUACGCAAAAAGGGCUG
rfam:Danio rerio chromosome 25 genomic contig CTG2378, GRCz11 reference primary assembly.